GACGAACGCUGGCGGCGUGCUUAACACAUGCAAGUCGAACGGAAAGGCCUCUUUCGGGGGGUACUCGAGUGGCGAACGGGUGAGUAACACGUGAGUAACCUGCCCUUGACUUUGGGAUAACUUCAGGAAACUGGGGCUAAUACCGGAUAGGAGCUCCUGCUGCAUGGUGGGGGUUGGAAAGUUUCGGCGGUUGGGGAUGGACUCGCGGCUUAUCAGCUUGUUGGUGGGGUAGUGGCUUACCAAGGCUUUGACGGGUAGCCGGCCUGAGAGGGUGACCGGCCACAUUGGGACUGAGAUACGGCCCAGACUCCUACGGGAGGCAGCAGUGUGGAAUAUUGCACAAUGGGUGGAAGCCUGAUGCAGCAACGCCGUGUGCGGGAUGACGGCCUUCGGGUUGUAAACCGCUUUCGCUCAUGACGAAGCUUUGUGUGACGGUAGUGGGUAAAGAAGCGCCGGCUAACUACGUG
rnacentral:rRNA from 1 species